rnacentral:lncRNA from 1 species
CACCACCUAUCUUGUUACAGAUAAGAGCUUCGCAUUACUCUCAAAGUUCCAAACAAUAAGAAAAAUACAUUUUAACCAUUACAGUCGUACUCGACAACAUGAAACAAACCCAACCCAGCAAAAUCAUUUGAAUCAUAUUUUAUCUUAUAGAUUCUUCUUCAUCACUCCAUGCACCAAAUAAUUUAUUCGUCUGAAAACCUUUAUUGAGUUUCUUCUUUAGAUAUAGGCAUUUAGCUUGUAUGUGACCAAAUCUUCCACACUCAUAGUAUCUUCCAUCAUGUUUCUCAUUUUCACUUGACGGUUUUCCUUUUCUGAUAAAUUGUUUGCCCUUUUUUUCACCUCUGGUUCUACUCAUCAUGUUUGAUACCACCAUUGAUAGCAUUGCUAUGUUUUCAUCUUGCUCUCCUCCUCCUCCUCCUCCUUCUUCUUCUUCUUCAGAUUCAACUACAGUGGCUUCGAAUGCCAUACACUUCUUCUUUUCUUCUUAUACAUGUCUAUUCAAAUGAGUCUUUUCAAAAGAUAUAAGGUCUUCACACAGUUCCAUCAUAGGAGAGUUUGUCAAGAUCUUGACAUUAUAAGGAAAUCACCUUAGGCUGCCAUGCAAUAGGUAAACUCUUGAGAAUUUUCCUGACUUGUUGUCCGGUUUUCAAUGGUCUCCCAAAUGAUUUUAAAUUUCCAAUAAUUUUGGUGAAUCGCGAGAACAUCUCUUCUAAAGAUUUGCCCUCUUUCAUCUGAAAGAAUUCAUAAUCGUGAAUUAGAAGAUUUAUCCUUGUUUUCUUGACUUUGUUUGUUCCUUCAUAGGUGAAUGUAAUUUUUGUCCCACAUUUCUUUUGCAGUUUCACAUCUUGAUUUUUUUUAUAUUCUUCUCUACUUAUGGUAUUAUAGAGAAAAUAUUUUGCUUUGGCAUUUACCUGAACAAUGACAGCCUGUUCGUCAGUAUAGCCAUCUAAAUCAAGGGGAUCAUAUGAUACCUGACUUUCAGUGGUUUUGUCCAUUUUGCUGAUGGAAUAGGGAGAUCUCCCUUUUUUAUCACGCGCCAGACUUUAAUGUCAUAUGAUUUUGCAUAAGUUUUCAUAUGCACUUUCUAGUAUGAGAAAUGCUGACCAUUAAAGUAGGGUGGUCUUGUUUGAAAGGUUCCUUCUUGAAAGAGUACUCUGAUAACUGUAUUUGAUCCCAUGAUCAUUUACUCACUUGCUGUUAAGAAAAUUGUAUUGUUGUGACAUCUUACUCUGAUACCAAUUGAAACACAAGAGGGGAGGGGUGAAUUAUGCCAAAAUAAUUUAGUUGACUAAUUUUAAUAUUAGUCGACUCUUUUCUUGCAGAUAUUGAGUUAAAGCAAAGUAACAAUGACGAAUAUUUAUGCAAAAAGAAAUAAAUGAGGCACAGAGUUUUAUAUUAGUUCGUGUAUUGGUGUGGUACCUACAUCCAGUUCCCUUGGAUCACAACGGUUCUCUUAGUUCUUCAAAAAUAACUUGUUACAACAGUCGUGUUUUCUUUCAUUCACCACCAACGAUGUACAAUCGAAUAUUUUACAAGUUCUUGACACAACCUCUUGACUGUUUUCUAUCUCUUUCUAUCUUUUAUGACGCUAGUAAACUCAAGAAUGUAGUAUUUUAACUAAGAACUAGAAAGAUGUAGAAACUUGUAUAUUAAAGUUGCAUAUGUUCUAUGCUUUUCUGAGUUCUUCAUAUAAAUAGGUCUUGAGUUAUUUCUGUCACCAAUAUCUUCAUUGCUUGCGAGUGAGAUUAAAAGAUAUCCAAUGAUUGAGGCAAGAUAUUUUCUAAGAUAUUUGACCCAAGGG